CCUUAAUUUCUUUUCGACUGAAGAAAGAAAGACAUGGACAUCUUGGAUGACAUGGGGAGGGGAUCCUGCCAGUCCAAAGUGAACUCCUGAUGGACAUUGAAGUACUCCUGCAGAGCUUGUAUCUUCGACACCAUGCGCAUUAGAAACUCCACUGAGUGCUUUCCUUCACCAAGGCAGGACCCAGUGACUCAUUACUGUUGAUCAGUCAGGGGCAGGUCAUUUUUUGUUUCAUGUUUAUUCAUUUCUCCAUGGAUUACCAGCCAUAUAUAUGGACACAUGCUGUAUUCUCAAGAUCUAUGCUGUUUGGUAGGAAUAGAGAAAAUUAUAUGUUAUAUGUUUUCAAAUGGUAUGUCAAAUUUUCUCAUUGUUUAUCAGUAAUAUUCACUACCUUGGUUAUAUAUGAGCAUCUUUAGAUUUUUCUAUAUUUAGCGGUUGCAAAUGUAAAAUGUACGGUAAACUAUUUAUGUUCCUCAUAUUGUACUGUAUUUUUAGCGGUAAAAUACCGGCAGCUGUGGUUGCCAGGAAUUUACCGUAAAAUGUAUCUGGUCAAAAUAAAAUGCUGUAAUUUGUUAUAC